rnacentral:lncRNA from 1 species
UAACACAAAAAUAUAUACAAAUCAUAAUUUUUAUUUCAAAUUAAUUCUAAUAUUUAAAAUUUUAUACAAGAAAAAUAUUAUGACAUUAUCACUAAGAAAAAAAUAAUUCUAAUCGUAUUUAUUUACUUAUUUUUCAUUUUUCUGUCAAAACCGAACUAUUUUUUUUUAAUCAAAAUUGCACUACCUUUUUAUAUCAAAUCCACACUUAUCCUGCAAAUCACAUGAACUGAAGUUUUACCGUACCGGAAUCCAAUUCCGAACCGCUUAUAUUAUCAUUUGGACUCAUUAUAGUGGUUUAGUGUUAACUGAUUAUACACACCAAAGCCAAGUAUACAACGGUUCAUCAUAAUUUUUUUUGCUGUUU